UGGCCGUGCAAGUGAUAUGUGAUCAAAACUACCGAUUUCUUGAUAUAAAUGCAAGAUAUUCUGGUCGUACACACUGUUCUCACAUUUGGCGACGUAGUCACGUCAAUGGUAUUAUGAAACACUCUCAAAAACGUAAUCCGAAAACAUGGUUAGUAGCUGAUCGCGGUUAUCACUUGACCUCGGGUAUUAUUAAUCCAUAUC